rnacentral:lncRNA from 1 species
UCUGAAUAACAUGAAAACAGCCUAACCAGCUCUUCUAGGGCAAGUAAAAUGGUCAGAGUUUGGGUGGGGGCUAAAGCUUAAGAUGAUUAUGGCAUUGCACAAGGUCAGUGUGAACCAGAGUGACUUGACAAAACGGGCCAAGCAGCUGUUCAAACAAAACGGAAAUGACACAGGAAGUCAUAUUUAAUGAAAGGGGUUGCAGUCUCCCAUGAAGCGUGUAUCCAUGUAUACAGCAGUAGAACAUGCCUGGCUCUCCUCCACCGGUCAUACAUGGAGAAUGGUACAAUGCCUCCCAUCAAAAAGAGAGCUGGCCCGAGCAAGCACAGGUUUCACCUGAAGCAUGAAGACUUGCAGCGAGUUGUGAACUUUAUCAACAACUACGCAGAGGAUAAUACAAUAGUACUACCAGGACACCACCCAGGACACAAACACUUGGUGGAAAGCUGCUGCCAUUCCAUGUGACAAAAGCAGCGGUGUGGGGCAUCUCUACAAGGAAUCAAUGACAACACUUGCUUCGAUGCUGUGGAGCCUGGGGUUGUUGUCGCAAAGGACGUUCGGACUGAGUUGGGACCAGGUUUCAGAAACUCAAACAGGAUGUAACCAUGACUAGGACCAUUCAACGCUGGUCUGACCAAUCAGAAUCCACGCUUCAAGAUUGUUUUGAUCACGCGGAUUGGGACAAAUUCUGGGUAGCCUCAGAGAAUAAUAUAGAUUUACAUGCUGAUUCAGUGAGUGAGUUUAUAAGGAAGUGCAUAGGAGACGUUGUUCCCACUGUGACUAUUAAAACCUACCCUAACCAGAAACCGUGGAUAGAUGGUGGCAUUCACGCAAAACUGAAAGCACGAACCACCGCAUUUAACCAUGGAAAGAUGACCGGGAAUAUGGCUGAAUAUAAACAGUGUAGUUAUUCCCUCCGCAAGGCAAUCACAAA